rnacentral:lncRNA from 1 species
AUCUGGCAGCAAAUUAUACACCAAUGAAGGGCUUGUAAAAUAAAAUACUCAAAACAAUAUGAACUGUAUCGAAACCUGGCAGUGUUUAGCCUUACUAAAUAAAUCUAGUACCCUCUCUUCAUACAUACUGGACAGUAAUAACUGCACGACCAUAAUACUGCUGGCUAGUGAUUGUCUGAAUUUCAGAGCUACGAAUGUUACCUUUCAACUUUAUAACUAACAAACAUAGUUUUUGUUGACACACUUCAUAAUUGUUUUAAUUAUGUUUUUUUUUAAAUUAGUUUAACCUACUUAUUUUUUUCGAAUUCCAUAUUUGUUUU